rnacentral:rRNA from 1 species
GACGGGGGGGGCAAGUGUUCUUCGGAAUGACUGGGCGUAAAGGGCACGUAGGCGGUGAAUCGGGUUGAAAGUGAAAGUCGCCAAAAAAGUGGCGGAAUGCUCUCGAAACCAAUUCACUUGAGUGAGACAGAGGAGAGUGGAAUUUCGUGUGUAGGGGUGAAAUCGUAAAUAUACGAAGGAACGCCGAAAAGCGAAGGACAGCUCGUCUGGGAUCCCUACCCGACGGCUGGGG